AUCUUUAAUUCAGAGUCCCAUUUGCAUUCUAAAUGAAGAAUUAUACUUCUAUCUCCACUGCUGUAAUCUCUUCUGUGAUUCAUCCUUUAAAGCAAAUUAAAAGAAUGCAUUUUUUAAGGAGGCUCACCCGAGGAGCCCAGCCACCUUGCUGUGAAGCACCCCAGGGCACCUACUGAAUCCUCACAGAGAUGUGCCAACUGAGACUGAUGUAGCUUCCGUGCCAGCCAAAAGCUGACUUCAACUGCCAAACAAGUGCAUGCGGCACCUUUAGGUGAUUCUAGUCCCCAGUGGUGUGUCAUCCCAGCUGAAGCCAAGUGGAGAAGAAAGAAGCUCGCCUCGCCUCACCUUGCCUAAACUGUAGAUUUGUGAACAAAACAAGCAUUGUUUUGAGCCACUGGGUUUUGAGGUGGUUCAUCAUGCAGCAAUAAAUAACUGGCACAGAUACUGAUAUUUAAAAUGGGGUGCUGCCACUAAAAACAAAACAAAACAACUAAAACACAUAAAGAGUGCCUUUGAACAGGGCAAUAGGCAGAACCUGAAAGGAGGUGGAGAAGAGUCAGAAUGAAAACCAGCAGGGCCUCCGGGAGCCUGUUAGUGGAAGCCUGACGGCCCCUGAAGGGGCUGACAGCAAGGGCUUCUAGGCAGGGAAAGACAGUGACACUGGAACCUGGAGGAAAGGGGACUCUUGCUCCAAAGCAGCUGGAAGUAAAGAUCAAUGAGCAAGAUAAGCUGAAGAAUUUUACACAUAAAGGAACUAGGGCUUACUAGGGUCAGAUAUCUGUUUCCCAAUUACAGCCUUUCCUCAUGUCUAAUUGCCAAAUAAUUCUAAAAGAAAUGACUUCUGAACUAAGACCAAAUCCAGGGUGCUGCCAGGAAAAAACACGGCCUAAGGUUGCAGCCAAGACUGUAAAAUCCUUUGUUAGGAUCUCAGAAAGAUUUAUGGUGGUGCCUCAAAUUCUUCUAAGGAGCUUCAGAGUUUAUACAUUUUAAGGCACCAUCCUAAAACAGCUUCACAGGAAGCCCAAAGUGAAGAGCUUAUCUCAAAAUGACUCGAGGGUCCCUUUCCUAUUGGCAUGAACCCCAAUAAAAUUCACAGGAAACUCAAGGUUUUUAAAAACGGUAUUAGCAAAAACACUGCCUGGUAGCCUGGACUGAGAGAGACGGAGAGAAUACAAAUGAAAAGAGAGAGGCCUUUGGGUCUUAGAAGUUCUACAGGGAGGAGGCAGGCUGAGAAAACAGAUGCAAACACAGGUCAUCUCUUAUGAACAGGACAGAACUGAGAGCUCAGAGGCACAGCAAAGGGCCAUGGAGGGGCAUUCCCAUGAUUAGGACUAAGUCUUCCUCAAAGAACUAGCAGCCUGCAGCAGGCUGCCCUUCAGAAUUGCUAUGGACUAAUGUGUCUCCCAUUUUGCAUUCUGAAUGAGAGUCUUGAGCAGGUCAGCAGAAUGUUGGCUCUGUGGGUGGUGGUAGAUAACUUGGCUCUUCAGUUCUCAAUUUCUGUAUUGAGAGGAAUUGUACUCCAAGGGCUAAACUGUAGAAACCACAGCCCAGGCUCCUGUCCCAUCUGCACCUGAUGAAGAUGUAAGAUCUCAGACUCCAGCCUGAACUGGAUGCCAUCGUCACUGAGGCUUGGCAUGCAGGUACAGGGUAGGGUGAACAGAAUAUAGGGAAGGUGAUGCUGUAUGAAUUCCAAGGCUGGUUGGCUGGGAUAGGCCAGGUGUUCCAGCUGCCCCGCCCAACUAAAGUCCCAGCCAGGGCCUGGCGCCAACAAUCGGACAUGUGAGUGAACUAGCCUCCAAAUGACUCCAGCCUCAGCCUUCAAGCUGUCCCAGCUACAGCUGAAGGAAGCAGAGACAAGCUGUCCUGGCCACACUUUCCUGACGGAGGAAGAAAUAGGAUUCUGUCAAUUAUGCAUUGAGCUAUAAAGUACAGCUAUCCAUCUCUUUCGAUUUAAGUAAAAGGAGGUGGAUACAGAGAACUGAGGUUUCUGAGAAUAUAGGAUCAGCACCAAGAACAAGGUUGGCCUCAGGAUUACACAUAAGAACCAGGUCAAAAGAAGAUUUAAUUGUGAAUAGAAAGAUGACAGAUUAGCAAGACUUCCAAAGAGAAAGCCAAAAGCCCAGACUUCAUCUCUUCGUUCCUAGAUGGUGAAAUCUAUGGAUCAGUCUAUGCCCUAUAGUGAGUCACUGAAACAUAAUGAACUACACAGACUGAGCCAGCAGAUCCUGUGACCCAGACAUGCAAAUGGGAGUGAGGUGGAGGGACACUGAUGAGAGACUAAAGGUGUGAAUGGAGAAAAGAAAGGGAAUGGGCUCUACCUUUGUUGUUAGCCUGACUUCCCAUCAUGGCACAGUCAGCAGGGCACAAGCUGGACAAAGGCUCUCUGAAGCUAAAAGUGUCUGCAUGAGCUGAGAGAAGCAAGUGGUAAUAUGCAAGAUGACCGUGAAAGAGUCCUCACAAUAUUUGAUUUGGUAUUGGCAAAAGGACAGACAUGCAGCAACCGUAUUAGAAUUGGGGAUACAAAAUAAACUCUGGUGAACUGAUUUUCAACAAGGGUGCCAAAAGGUUAAAUGGGUCAAGAAUAAUCUUUUUAACCCAUGGUACUGGGGCCACUGAAUAUCCACAUACAGAAGAAUAAAAUCAGACCUCUACUUCAUAGCAUAUAUACAAAGUUAACUCAACAUGUAAGCGCAAAAAUUAUAAAACUCAUAGGAAAAAACAAAGAUGUGUAUCUUUGUGACUGGAUUUGGCAAUGGUUUCUUAGAUGACACCAAAGGAGAAAAGCAGAUUAACUGGAUUCAUCAGGACAGUGAAAAGGCAAGCUAUAGAAUAGGAGAAAAUACUUGAAAACCCUUUAUCUGGUAAGGGAUCUGUAUCUAGAAUAUAGAAAUAACUCUUACAGUUCACUUAGAAGAAGACAGUCCAAUAUUAAAAUAGGCAAAGGAAUCAAACAGGCAGUUCCUCAAAGAAGAUACCUGAAUGGAUAAUAAGCAUAGGAAAAGCUGCUCAACAACAUUAUUCAUCAGAAAAAUGCAAAUCAAAACCACAGUGAAAUGC